UAAAUCAAUGAGAUAAAUACAAAUAAUGUGAGGAGGCUGUGGGCCAGGCAGAGUUAGCAGUAGGAGUAGGGCAGGAGUGGGGUUAUAAAAGAUGGGGAAGGGUCACCUAGAGAGUCAGGGCAGGUGGUAGAAACAAACUGGUAGGAGCGGUUUUGCCCCCUUUUUAUGGUUUUUCCUAAGGCCCUGUGGUGAUGGUGUUGGUUAGCACAGCACCGUGGCUGUGGAGAAGGUGGGGAGAGUAGGAAGGCAAAUGUUUAGGACAAAGCUGGCCGUGGUGCAAGGUCUGCCUGCAGAAGCCCUCAGGAGAGGAAGGGCAUGGAGUGAGUGUGUCACCCAGCAGCCCCCCACCAGCACCCCAGCCCGGGGGGUGGGUGCCUAUCCCGCAGCCAUGGCCUGCCAGUGACCCCCUCUGCCUGCACAGCCCCAGGGCCUCGCUGCCCUUCACCAUCCCGUCCGCAGGAGGCUGCCCAAGGGGUCUAAUGCGGCCGGGCAGCCGAUAGCCCUCGCCGUGGCCGCUGUCCGUGCUGACCGAAGGGCGAUGCCUACGCCGGGACCUGCCGUGCCGUCUGUCCCUUAGUUGCAGGGGCAUCUUCCUCCGGCCCUUUCCUCUCUCUGCAGAGCACGGCUUUGGGUGGCAGCACAGCCCCGACUCUCCGGGGGUAUCCAGGGUCCAAAUCUGAACAGGUAGGGACGGCCUGAGGAAAGACGCAGGAGGUGUUAGGGAGUUGGCAGGGGCCACGCCGUGAGGGCUGGGGAAGGAAGGACAGCAAGGGCCGGCAGUGAGAACACUCUCUGAGAGCCAGAAGGACAGCAGUGCCCGCACCCCAGCCGUGGGAGGGCGAGGCCCUGAAACCCGUCCCUGGAGCGGACUCUCGCGGGGGUGGGCUGGCACGCUCGAGGCCCAGUGGGCUCGCUUAAAAAUAACGCAAAUACUUCCGUAAAACUGCUUAAAGCGAGGGACGGACAAGUCCUGCAAGAAAUUGGGCGUCCUUGGGGACGCGGCGGGUUGGGAAAGGCAUGUGUCAAUUUAGCCCUAGUGUUGACUUAAGCGAAAGUGCUAAGCCAUUCCUAAACCUAAGUCAAUACAGACUUAAGCCAAAAUUGUUAUUAACGAGCUCUAAUCUGAUUUAAGAGCCUCCGAGCGAGCCGUGUCUACACGAGGCGCGUUGCCUUGCGCUGCGCUCCGCGGUGCCCGGUCCCCCGGGGGGGCCGCGGCCCGGGACAGCGGGAGGGUCGGGAGAAUGCAUCCCCAGGGAGGAGGAAGGCGGGUUUCGAGGAAAGCCGGGCCACAGUGAUUUGGGAUGACCGGUGAUCUCCCUCCGCGGGACAACCUCUUAAAACUGUACCCAGCUCGGCUGGCGUGGGGCGGUUCGGGGCUGUGCAAAGCCCUGGGCCGGGGGUGUUUGCAGUUGGGGCCGGGGCUGCCGGGACCUCUCGGCCGUGCCUGGCCCGGGGGUGGUGCCGAGGGCCGGCAGCUCCGCUCGCUCGGGAGAGGGACAUGCCAAUGCAUUUUUUCCCCCGUCCCAAUGGGGCAGUUGAGCCCUCCACUCCACCCCCCAGUGGGGGCCUUUCUUUUCUUCCCCACCAGCUUUGAGCAGCCCUGUUUCAGAUUGGCCUUUUUAUGUUUGAUAUAAAGAAUAGUUGUUGGCCAAUUCCAUCUUUUCAUCGCUGCUCUCCAGGCCCGGGUCCAAGCGGCUUGUCAGAUGCUCAUUAACUCCCCCUUUGGCUCUUUCCAGUGUGUCUCCUAAGCUCAUUGUGCCAAGAACUAGCGCUUCUUUCUCUUUACACGGCUCCCUUUCUCUGCUCCAUCAGGGAGACAAAUUACUUUCCAAAAGGGAUCGCCAGGGAUGGUUUAAUGAGAAUUUCUCUAGCGCUGGCCGUGGAAAUCAAUGUAGUUAACAUUCGGUGCACUUAAUUGGACUUUUCUCUUCUGCCUCCUUCAAAAAAACUCUGAAGCUAUCCUGUUAAUCUCUCAUUUGUAAUCAAUUGUGUUGACUAAACAAAAGUCUAGGUCGUCCUUUCUUCCUGUCCCAGACAAUCCUUUGUUGCCUCUAAAUGCCUCAUUCUUGAGUGCUCCUGGUCGUGUAGAUGGGUCCGAUUUUUGACAGUUCAUUAUUGCGCUUUUGUCCAUUUAAUCUCCCUCGCUGUGUUUUGCAUGUGCAUGCCUUAAUGAGCUCCGUUGGCAAUUAACAUGUUUCUAGCAGCAAACUGGUUGCUCAGACGUUUGGAGAGCGGAGUGCAGGGAAAAGGGCAACGCAGCUGCCUGUAGGUUGGUCGCUUCCCGGUGCCCGGCGCGGUGCCGGGACGCACCUGGGAGCCGCCCGGUGCCGGGGAGGCGCCGGGCCGGGCCGGGCGGGCCGAGGGGGGAAGCCCGGCGGUGCUGGCACGUCCCUCUCUGCGCGGAGGCACCUCUAACCCUCCCCCCGAGGCACCGGCACCGCUCAAUCUGUUGUGUGCGCGGCUGUGGCGCCGGGAGAGUUUUUUUUUUUGUGCGGGUUUUUGUGUUAUUAUUGAGGCUUGCUGGCAAGAGUGCCGAAGUGUGAGCAGUCGUGGACAGCAGAAACAUCUUGUGAGGGAGAAGAUAAUUGGAGUCUCUGGCGUGUGUGUGUCUGACAGAGCCGCCCCUCCCCCGCGAUCUGCGGCUUGUAUGUGCCAGGAUCCGGGCGAGAUCCCGGGGGGGGGCAGGGGCCGGCCGGUGGCGAGCGCGCUGCCGCGGCCCCUUCCCGGUGCGUCCGAGGUCGGGGGGAAGCCGGAGCGACAGCCGGCCCGGGCAGGGCUGCCCGCCGCCACCCGGGGGGGGCCAGGUAACCAAGCCCACCCAGCGGCGGCCGAUACGGCCCUGCAGGGUGCCCCGAGGAUGCCCUUAACCGUGACGGGAAUGACUCCCUCCCCCCUCACAGACGGCUCUGUAAACAACGCCGCUUUUUAUAAAAAUGCGAUAAGAACGCGCUUCCUUAAUUCCCUUCCCGGGAGCGGGUUUCGCACUGCUCUCGCCCAUCAGGGAUGCUGAGGAAGCAGCCUGCGCGCUGUCUGUGGGGCCUGUAGCCGCGCCUGGCUCCCGCUUUCGGCUCCCGACUGGCAGCCCAGACCUUUUCCCGCGGCCCGAGGUGCGGAGGAAGCAGAGCUUCCCCCGGACCUGACAGCGGCACCGGCUCCGUAGCCGCCCCUCGGGAUGCGCACGCCCCGCUCCCCUCCUCCGGAACCUUGUCCUGCCGUGGCCUCCCCCCAUACACUGUCCUCUCGGAGAAAGGGGUCCCCCCCUUCUGUCCCCGGCCCGUGGGCUGUCCCGCCCCGUCUGUCGCGGCGUCGGGAGAGCCGGGCUCGGCUCCCGCCUGCAAAGGCUUGAGCUGCAGCCCCUUCGCUUGCGGGACCCUUUCCCCCGACAGGGUGUCCAGAGCGGUGACUUAACGGCGACGGGGAUAAUUGGACAUCCUUUUCCGCCCCUCAAACCAUCAAAACGCUACUUCUGACACUGGAAAAUGCAAACCCCAAGAAACUCUGAAAUCGCCCCAUCCCUCCAGCAGGAGCACGGGGUCCGCCAGCCCUGGCCCCAGCCCCCAGCCCGCUCCUCGGGGAGCGCGGAACAUCGCAGCCGAAUAAUGAUCCAGAAACCCGGAGCGAGGGGUCGCCUCCCGUUCCUGCGCUCGGCGGCGAGCUGUGCUCGUCCUCGCCUCCUACAAUUUAACCACUCAAUUAAGCGGAGAAAGGUGAGCUCCCCAUUACGCCGUCCCCGGGCAUUUCGGUGCCUUUCUCGUUCCCCUCUUCAUUGGCAAGCCCGGCCCGAGCAGCACGCACACGCCCGGCCGCCUCAAUCUCCUUUCUCCGCUAGAAUAAUAUUGUUCCUAACGACGUGGCCAGAAUAGACACUUGCGUAUUAAAAGUGAGGGAGGGGGGGAGAUGAGAAGGGAAUAUUUAGUGUAAUCCAAGUGCUUGAUUAUCCAUAUUCUGAUCAAAAAGAGUUUCUGAGGCCUGCUGGGAGUGAUUAGAUUAAUGUAAUGCGG